rnacentral:rRNA from 1 species
GACGAACGCUGGCGGCGUGCUUAACACAUGCAAGUCGAACGAGGCUCCUUCUUCGGUUGGGGUUCUAGUGGCGAACGGGUGAGUAACACGUGGGCAACCUGCCCCUGGCUCUGGGAUAACUCCAAGAAAUUGGGGCUAAUACCGGAUAUGACCGCUGAUCGCAUGGUCUGGUGGUGGAAAGAUUUAUCGGCUGGGGAUGGGCCCGCGGCCUAUCAGCUUGUUGGUGGGGUAGUGGCCUACCAAGGCGACGACGGGUAGCCGGCCUGAGAGGGUGACCGGCCACACUGGGACUGAGACACGGCCCAGACUCCUACGGGAGGCAGCAGUGGGGAAUAUUGCGCAAUGGGCGAAAGCCUGACGCAGCGACGCCGCGUGGGGAUGACGGCCUCGG